rnacentral:rRNA from 1 species
AGCUCAAAUUUGAAAUCUGGCGCAAGCCCGAGUUGUAAUUUGCAGAGGAUGUUUCGGGUGAAGCCACGGUCCAAGUCCCUUGGAACAGGACGUCAUAGAGGGUGAGAACCCCGUACCUGGCCGUCGGUGCCCCCCGCUGUGAAACUCCUUCGACGAGUCGAGUUGUUUGGGAAUGCAGCUCUAAAUUGGUGGUAAAUUCCAUCUAAAGCUAAAUACCGGCCAGAGACCGAUAGCGCACAAGUAGAGUGAUCGAAAGAUGAAAAGCACUUUGAAAAGAGAGUUAAAAAGUACGUGAAAUUGUUGAAAGGGAAGCGCUUGCGGCCAGACUUGCCCGCGGUUGCUCAGCCCGCCUUUUGGCGGGUGCACUCUUCCGCGGUCAGGCCAGCAUCGGUUUGGGCGGUCGGAUAAAGGCGCCGGGAACGUGGCCUCCCCUCGGGGAGGUGUUAUAGCCCGGCGCGCAAUGCGACCAGCCCGGACCGAGGUUCGCGCUUUGCUAGGAUGCUGGCGUAAUGGCCGUAAGCGGCCCGUCUUGAAACACGGACCAAGGAGUCUAACAUCUAUGCGAGUGUUUGGGUGUCAAACCCGUGCGCGUAAUGAAAGUGAACGGAGGUGGGAACCGCAAGGUGCACCAUCGACCGAUCCUGAUGUCUUCGGAAGGAUUUGAGUAAGAGCAUAGCUGUUGGGACCCGAAAGAUGGUGAACUAUGCGUGAAUAGGGUGAAGCCAGAGGAAACUCUGGUGGAGGCUCGCAGCGGUUCUGACGUGCAAAUCGAUCGUCAA